rnacentral:pre_miRNA from 1 species
UAUGUACUCCCUCUGUUCGGAAUUACUUGUCGCAAAAAUGGAUGUAUCUAGAUGUAUUUUAGUUCUAGAUACAUCCAUUUUCGAGACAAGUAAUUCGGAACGGAGGGAGUAGAUG